GGCCUGGUGGUGAAUGGAUUACACCCACCCUCCUUUAUUCUGCCGACGCUGUGAGAUGGGGAAUCCCGGUUCGAUUCCGGGUCAGGUCA